UUAUCAGACCUGGAAAUCGAGGCAGGAGAGGGCAUCAGCAGGGUGUGAAAGGUGAACUUAAGUACCUUAUCUAAGCCACUUAUAGAGCCAAAGCAUAAAAGAGCCUUGAAGAUCCCCAAAUGAAGGUUGCCUUGUCAACCCUACCUGGUAUCUUCUGUACUAGACCUUACCAACCCCAGUGGCUCCUCGCAUCCAUGGUGCUGGGGACAGGCAAUACAGACUGCCAAGACUGCCAGACCCUGGAUUCUCUUUUUGUUUGUUUUUAAAUUUUUCAUGAUGGGGUUUCUCUCUGUAGCCCUAGCUGUCCUGGAACUCACUUUGUAGACCAGUCUGAUCUUGAACUCACAAAGAUCCACCUGCUUCUGCCUCCUGAGUGCUGAGAUUAAAGGCCUGAGUCCCCAGCAUCCUUGGAUUCUUACUGCCACCCACGUCUUUUGAGGACAGUUCGCCUUAUCCUAGAAUCACCUGUUUCUGUUAUAUAAAAGCAUUUGUUAAUAGAGGUAUAAGGCUUGUACAGCUCAAAAGUAAUAGAACUUAACCUUCCCUUUUAGCUAAAAACAGGAGAAACCAGGAGGAAACACGCCAAUGACAGUAAAAUAAAUGCAUUGCCAAGUGUCCACGGGAUGAAGCUGCUGACCUGAGUUUCACUGUGGCCAUCUCCACCCUGUCCAUUAGACAUGUUCAGAAAUGCAAGCAAGCCAUCCAAUAUGCCUAGAAUACAAGAGUGUUAGCAUGAAGGAACUUCUAAAGCAGUCCACUCAGAUCGAGAGUGGGGAUGGAGCCGUGAAUCUUAAAAAGA